CUGGACCAGCCAUGCCGCGUGCAGGGAAGACGGCCCUAUGGGUUGUAAACUGCUUUUAUACGGGAAUAAACCUCUUUACGUGUAGAGAGUUGAAUGUACUGUAAGAAUAAGGAUCGGCUAACUCCGUGCCAGCAGCCGCGGUAAUACGGAGGAUCCAAGCGUUAUCCGGAUUUAUUGGGUUUAAAGGGUGCGUAGGUGGUUCUUUAAGUCAGGGGUGAAAGACGGCAGCUUAACUGUCGCAGUGCCUUUGAUACUGAAGAACUUGAAUACACUAGAGGUAGGCGGAAUGUGACAAGUAGCGGUGAAAUGCAUAGAUAUGUCACAGAACACCAAUUGCGAAGGCAGCUUACUAUGGUGUCAUUGACACUGAGGCACGAAAGCGUGGGGAUCAAACAGGAUUAGAUACCCUGGUAGUCCACGCCCUAAACGAUGAAUACUCGAUGUUGGCGAUAUACAGUCAGCGUCUAAGCGAAAGCGUUAAGUAUUCCACCUGGGGAGUACGCCCGCAAGGGUGAAACUCAAAGGAAUUGACGGGGGCCCGCACA
rnacentral:rRNA from 1 species